UAAUAUCUUUAUGUGUUCUUAUUACUCAGGUAAGCCAUUUUUUUUUUUUUUUUGGUAAGCCAUUUUUAUUGUGAGAAAAAUCAGAAGAUACAAAUACAUUCGAAGGGAAUAAAUCUCACAUCUUCCCUAUCUCCCAACCUUAGUUUAGUCUAUGUCUUUAAUUAAUUGGCCUAUUUCUAGAUCUAUGUGUUUUGGACAUGAGAUUUCUGCUAAGAUGGGUGAAGAUUUCGUUUAUUUACACAUUUCACCUCCCCGUUCCCAUCAUUUCAGUUUCUCACAUUAGUAUUUUCUUUCUUUAUAAGUUACCUUGGUGAUUCCAGGUAACUGAAAUAGACUUUUAGCCACUGUUUAUCAACUAUGGAAAGGUUAUCUUGGGCUUUCCUUCAGCAAUCUUCCCCUUUUCACUGACCAGCUUUUCAUCUGUAGUUUCCCUUAUGCAUUGUUAAGGUCAACAAUAUUUCCAGAUGCCAGCAGCCACUCCAUCUUCUAUGCUUUUUCCAUUUUGUGACUCAGCAUUCUCUCAAAUCUAAAAAUACUAAUACAUUCAUUUUAAAGCAAGUAUUUAUUGAAUUAGUUCUGUUUCCUCGGCUGUCAGUUCUUCUAUUUGUAGAUUGUUUUCUUUAGGUUUUGAUAAUCAUUGGUUGUUUGCUCACCUGCCUAUUGAAUGCUAGUUUUGUUUGCCAUAGCCUACCUCAAGUGACAGGUAGAAUCCAGGUAACUUGUCAGUCUGGAGUCAGGGAGGCAUCCACAAGCCACCACCUGUGUUCCACACAGAGUGCCUUGGAAGCCUGUGGAUAAAUGAGACAGUAGGCACUGCUGGGGCUGGGAUUCUAGAAUCAAGAAUGUGCUGACAGUAUGACUUGGGCUCAUUUUGAAUGCAGGAGCUAGAAACCAAGAAAGAUAGCUGGUGACAGGCAGGAAAGAACUUGACUGUGUAAAAGCAGAUAUAAACCACCAAAGAAGAUGAGCCCCAAAAACCUAUUAGGGACCUAUCUCAGGAAGACAGUAUUACAUCUCCUUCUAGCUACAGAAGGGCUUCAUGGCAUCAAACCCCAUGUCUGGAAGUUGUUAUUCAUUAAAUAUUUACUGGGCACAUACUUUAUGACAGGUGCUGUGCUCCUCUCUGGGGUUUAUACAAAAUUAGGACAUGUCCUUCACACGAGAAGCUCACCAUCUAUGGGAGAGGAAGACACAUGUUACAUACAGCAUGGUGUGAUGGAGUUUCUCUCUUGUCGCCCAGGCUGGAGUGCGACGCUACAAUCUGGCUCACUGCAACCACAGCCUCCUGUGUUCAACCGAUUCUCCAAAUUGCUGGGAUUGCAGAGGAUUUCAAAUGCAGGACGGUUCAACCACACAAUGUGAGCACCAUAACAACGCCACAGCGCCACAAUCCAGAAGGCAGGCCAUCCGUGAAAGCAAACUUUUUUGUCCAGAAAGCAGUGGUGCCUGAAGCUCAAUCAAGACGGCCUCACAGCCUUAUCAAACAGCUAGCAUGCUGGGACAGCGGGGCCAGGCAGAGGACAACUUUUAUUGGUAACAAUGUCAAGAAAUAUCAUUGAAAAAUAAACUUUUAAUAGACCUUUGCAAACAUGUGAAUUACAAAACCUACUUGAGAAAAAAACACAUGUGGAAGAGCAGGUUCUGGAAUAUUUAUCAGGCCAUGAAGACAAAAGUGACAAGAUCAGCAGAAAAGACAUUAGAUACUGGCCAUUACAAUAUGUUACAAAGAUACUUUACAACUGAUUUAUGAAUAUUCUACUUUAGUGACUUCUUUCAAAAGCAAAAUACAGUAAUUUAAAUUAAUUAACACAGCCACCAAAUUCCUGAGACAUACCAGCCACCAAUCUAGACGGUGGGGUGGAGGGGGUGAAAUGAGCAGACAGGCAUGCUUUCUGCCCGUACAGAGCUUACACUUCUCCAUCAAGAUGAGAACAUUGUACAUAGCAAGCACGCAGCAGAAAUUUUACUUGUUUUGCUCCAAUGUGAUCUAAAUAGUCUUUGGGGCAACUCAGAGGGGCAGUGCAGACUGACAGAGAGCUGUGGGCUCUUGAUCAAAUCACUUAAUAACGGUCUCUUUGUGUUUUAGUUUUCUUACCCCCGAAAUGUGAAUAUAAUAGUCUGCUCUGGCUACCGUAACAAGCAGCAUAGACUGCAUGGCCUAAACCACACACAUUUCUUCUCUCAGAGUUCUGGAGGCUGGAAGCCCACAUCAAGGUGCAGGCAGGAUUUGUUCCUUGCAAGGCCUCUCUCCUUGACUUGCAGAUGCUGUCUGCUUCCUGUGUGUCUUCAGAAGAUCUUCCCUCUGAGGGUGUCUGCGUUUCAAUCUCUUCUUCUUGUAAGGACACCAGUCAGACUGGAUGAGGGCCCACCCCAGUGACCUCAUUUUAACGUAAUCACCUCUGUAAAUGCUCUACCUCCAAGCACAGUUACAUUCUGAGGUCCUGGGGGUAGGAACUUCAUAUGAAUUUCAGGGAAGCACAGUCUGGCCCAUGACAGGCACUGGCAUUCAGCUGAUGCUAUAAAGCACCAGCUUUAUAAAGAAAGCUAUAAAGGCCCAACAUACCUACCCAGUGAUGUGGCACAGACCAUACACCCAAUAUAUGCCCAUUUAAUUUGCAAUAGUCAAGACGCAUAGUCCUGAUAGUGACUGUUGUCCAGCAUGGUUUUUAAUGGCAAAGCAUCAUCAUCUGUAAUAUGAUUUUUAUGGAAAAUGGAACUAGGACUCUGAAUUGGGGUGCCAAGAAUCUACCCCACUGCCUCCCAGCCCACUUGCAUGCCCAAGCAGAGAGAAACUUUUUCUCUUUUUCUACAGAAUGAAGAGGCCCCUGUGUCUCCAGUGGGGGAGAGGGGCUGAGGUUAGGUAAUGAAGAUUUUGGAUAAGAAAUGUAACCCCAGUGACAGGUCAGGGCCUCAGAACAGCAGUUAAUAGGUCUCGCUCGACAGGUUGGAGGGGGAGCUGUGUGGGAAAGACGUCAAUGAGACCAAGUUGCUGGGUUGCUGAGAAACAGCCCAUUUCUUCACUGCACCCUGUUCCUGCCCAAUGGCCAGAGCCAGGGUCAUCUAGAACAGAAGUUAUGGGAGAUCCUGAAUGCUGGCAUAGGAAGAUUUAAUGUGCUCAGCCCUACUGACUGCUAAGGAUACCUGAGCCAGAAAGCUGUGGCCUGUGGGAGGGAGGGAAAAGGUGGCUGGACAAGGUGUCUCAGCGAUAGGAGCAGGGAGUGGGAAGAGAAAAAUGCACCAAGAGUGCUGGUGACCUUUCUGUGUGAGGAUAAUUAAGUAAAGUGCCACCCCAGAGUCAGGAGAGCCUUUACAUGGGGCAGGCUCAGGGGACUCGGCGAUCCCCCGUCCUUCUCCCCUUUUCUGGACUUUACCUGGAGCUUGUGACCCAGCCAGGUGGCAGCCUGGACAUCUCAAAGGGAAGGUUUCUGCUGCAAAACGAACAGGAAUUCAUGUGUGUCUGUGAGGUGGGAGCACUGUGUCCUGAUCAAGGGCAAGUACCUGAGUGGUCCAGGCUCUAAGUGACCACCUCUCUCUAAUUCGAAGGCAAAUCCAUUACUUUGUAGGUAAAGAGGCGGCACAGGGAUCCCAGUUUCCUUUGAUUCUCUGUAUUUUUUCUACAUGUCUCCACUUCAUUACCUCAUCUUUCACUAAAGUAAAACUACCUACUGCUUCCAGUUGUAACAGAAGCACAAUUUGAACUCCAAUGUUUAUUUUAACAGGGUAACAUGAUGUUUUUCUCAUGGACUUUUACAUAUUUUCUCAACAAGACAGGCAAAUCCUCAUACGUACUUUUCAGACUCAGGCUGUCUUUAGCUACCAUAACUAAACCACAGCCAACCAGGACAUGGUAGAUGGAAGCCCCCAUCAUCCAGGGCCCCUGCUCACCUGUCUUUCUAUGCCGCAUUUUGGAAGAGCAGUUGCUAGCACGUCCCUGGAGCCUCCUCACCUUGGCGUCAACAGUGAACUCCAAAGCAGGCUGCAGGCCAGGUAGAUCCUUCAGAGGGAUGUGAGGUAGGUGGGCCUCACCCAUGCAGAACACCCAGACGGUUUCAACGCCUCCCAUUCCUGCCCUUACUGAGGCAUGAUGUGUGGCUUUGUGUUUUAGCAAGACUUGGGACAACAGAUCAAAUGAUGUGUUUUUCUUCCAAGUUAAUCAUAAAUCCUACUGCACAGAAUUUACCUGGUUUUGAGCAUUCUGGUUGGAGGUGUCACAGCAGCGUGCUUUGGAUAAAUCAUAUUGUGAUGAUCAUAUCUAGAAUGCGACCAUUACAAAACCUUCUAACGACUGGCACGCUGUAUAUUAGAUGAAGCAGCAUUUUCUCACCAAGUAAUGACUUUAUCUACAGCUUGUUCAAUAAUGCAUAAACUGCUACAUCUUUGCACGAAAAAGGAUGAAGGAAUGAAAGUUACUGUAAAAAAAAAAAGCAAGAUUCUGUUUGAUCAGACAUGCUCAGCAGUAAGCAGGAUUUUAACUCUUACAUUGAAGAACAGGCUCUGAGAGCAUCUCAAGCUCUUUAAAUCUAUCACCAAAUUAUGGUGUUUAAGUUCUAGAAGAAUCCUUAGAGGUCUGAUGGUAUCUUAAUUGGUUCAGGCACCUAAAGCAAAAUACCAUAAACCAAGUGACUUAUAAACAGCAGACAUUUAUUUCUCACAGUUCCGGAGGCUGCAAGUCCCAGAUCAGUGUCCCAGGAAACGUGGUGUCUGGUGAGGGCCCACUUCCUAGUUCAUAAUGGUCCCUCCUUGCUGUGUCCUCACAUGGCAGCAGCAGUGAGGGAGCUCUCUGAGAUCUCUUUUAGGUCACGAAUCCCAUUCAUGAGGGCAUCACCCUCAUGACAUAAUCACCUCCCAAUACCAUCACAUUAAGGAUUAGCACUUCAACAUAUGAAUGUGGGGAACACAAUCCACAGCAGCUUGGCCAGUUGUUCUCAGGCUGCUGCUGCGGGAAAUGAGUCCUGGGGUCCCAUGUGUGAGGGGCCCAGGGAACUGGGUGGGACAGGAGACCCUGUACCCCCAGGACCUCCAGCAGCUGCAACAUUGUUUGCUUUACACAGGGGCCCUGGGUGCUUGACAAUGUGCUCCACAGACAAGACAAGUGACAGAGGCUUGGAGAGCAUGAGUAUUUGCCUGCAGUCUCCCAGGCCAGUCAGCACCCAGUUGGAGAGCAAGGAGCAAAGCUCCUGAGCACACAGCUGCUGGAGAUGACCGGUAAGGAGUGUGAUCAAGCUCCUUAUCCAAGCCACCUCCACCACAGGGGCCACGUUAAAGACCAGCCACAAAUUGUGCUGUGCCUUUAUCUGCGUUUAAUAACAAUAAAACAACAUGUGAACUGUAGGUAAUAAUAUUUCUUAGUGAGCAGAUAGAUAGUAUAAUUUUAAGUGGCAAAUAGCUGAGUUGGAUUUAAAGGUAAACCGUAAGUUUCUGCUUUUGUGGUGAUUCUGCAGCAUCAAGCUAUUGGAUCUCUGAUCUCAAGUCAUAUUUUUAUUGAUGAUAAUAAGCACGUUUUAACUUUCCUGAAUAAAAUUACAUACAUUAAAGAUUGGAUUCUAAUAAA